UGGGGAAUUUUCCGCAAUGGGCGCAAGCCUGACGGAGCAAUACCGCGUGAGGGAGGAAGGCUCUUGGGUCGUAAACCUCUUUUCUCAGGGAAGAACACAAUGACGGUACCUGAGGAAUCAGCAUCGGCUAACUCCGUGCCAGCAGCCGCGGUAAUACGGAGGAUGCAAGCGUUAUCCGGAAUGAUUGGGCGUAAAGCGUCCGUAGGUGGUUUUGUAAGUCUGUGGUUAAAGCGUGUAGCUCAACUACAUAAGGGCCAUGGAAACUACAAGACUUGAGUGAGGUAGGGGUAGAGGGAAUUCCCAGUGUAGCGGUGAAAUGCGUAGAGAUUGGGAAGAACACCGGUGGCGAAAGCGCUCUACUGGACUUAUACUGACACUGAGGGACGAAAGCUAGGGGAGCGAAAGGGAUUAGAUACCCCUGUAGUC
rnacentral:rRNA from 1 species